UUCAAACAAAGCCUCUCUCUCCCUUUCAUUCUCUCUUGCCAAACCCUCUCUUCUCCAAAUCUUCUUUCUCCCUUUCACUCUCUCUUACCAAACCCUUUCUUCUCCAACAAUGUAGAGUCUGAUCUUCAACAACGGAUCUUUGAUUUUGUGGGCGUUGUCAUUGUCGUGGGUCUCUGUCCAGCGUCCGGUGUCUCUUUUCGUUCGAUGUUCGUUCGCUGUCGACCAAAUCCACUUCUCCGCCGUGUCGUCGACCAAAUCGACCAGACCUGUUUUUUCUCCAUCGACCAAAUCCACUUCUCCGUCGUGUCGUCGACUAAAUCGACCAAAUCUGUCCGUGUUAUCGACCAAAUCGACCAAAUCCACUUCUCCACCGGACAUUUUUCUUUUCUCAGUUCCACCGACCACCCUAUAGGAUGCAUUUGAAAUCAAUUUCUCAUGCCCUUACGGCAUGCGCGAACAGAGAAUGGGUGCUAUAGUUGGGCAAGAUUGUGCACUUCUAGAAGAGGUUUGUGGAUGGAUUAAUGCAAAAGCUACAAUCCCUAUUUGGGCAAAAAUGACCCCCAACAUCACUGACAUUUCACAGGUAUUUUUGCCCCUCCUACAUUUGGAAGAUCACAUUAUCCUUAGAAUUAUGUUUGUCAAGUUAUGGGACAAAUUCUUUUACUGAUGAUGAUAGUUGAUGAUUAUAUGAUAUAUAUGGUACAACUCCAAAACAAACUUUGCACCUACAUAACUUUUAUGCUUUUUUUUAGUCCAAAUCCACUUCUCCGUCAGACAUUUUUCCUUUCUUAGUUCCACCGACCACCCUACAGGUAAACUUUGAAUACUUAUGCACGUUAUUCCAUAUAAAAGGAGAAUCACACGUUAUAUGAAAAUUUAACGUGGAGUUGUAAACUGCUUGGGAAGAACUUAUCGAUCGAGUCGAAAAAACUGGAGUUAUAAGAUCACUGUUUAUGACUUCUUUACUGUGUUAAAUACCAAGAAUAUGUUCAUUUCGUCCAAUAUUUACAUCUCGUUCAUCAGGAUGUAUUUGAAAUCAAUUUCUCAUGCCCUUAUGGCAUGCCCGAACGAAGAAUGGGUGUUGCAGUUGGGCAAGAUUGUGCACUUCUGGAAGAGGUUUGUGGAUGGAUUAAUGCAAAAGCUACAAUCCUUGUUUGGGCAAAAAUAACAAACUUUGCACCUGCAUAACUUUUAUGCUUUUUUUAGUACAAUAAGGGGAGGGGUGGGGGGAUUCGAACCAUGGACCUCAUGGUCAUUAACACACCUUAGAUGCCAGUUGAACUGUUCUCACUUUUGCACAUAACUUAUAUGUUGGAAGAAGCAUUUUUUAUAAUUAAAUCAGAUUCGACAUUUAUGAAUAAUUAUAAUGAAAUCUGUUCUAUGGUUGUAGCUUUGGGAAUAACUUGGAUAACUGUGCAUAUAAACUAAAUUCAGAUGUUGGAAGAAGCAAACGUUUUCCUAUUUGAAUAGCAUGAAGAAAAUGAAAUAUGUUCUAUGGUUGCAUGUACUGAUGCAAUUGAUGAAUUUGCUCCUCUUUUUGUAUGGUAUUAAUUGAAUUGAAUUUUCAUGUAACGUGUGACACUACAGGUAAACCUUUUUAUUCCAGGUCGUAUUUGUAUACCCAUCGACCCUGAACACUGAUGAGUUUUAUCCUACCAUCGUGCUAACUGUUGCCUAGGUAAAACAACAAGAAAUAAAGGCAUAUAGCAUAAAUAUUAUACUUUUCCUACUGAUUUUCAGUGAGGAAAAUGUUUAAUUUUCAUACAUAAUAUAUAACAAUUGUUCCAUUUUGGCUUCUGAGCAAUAAGUUGAAUUAUAAUGAUGUAUUGCAGCUCCUAGGAGAACUUAAAUGUAGUAGACAUAGAAGUAGAUGGUGAGACUGGUACGUGAUAUUCAAUCUUUACUAUAGAUUCGUGAGACUCCUGCUUUAUUUGCUAGGGUAGCUACGUUAGGAUAACAGAAUAUUGUGAUUAACCAAUGUCAUUAUAAUCUUUUGCUAGGGUAGCUACGUUAGGAUAACAGAAUAUUGUGAUUAACCAAUGUCAUUAUAAUCUUUUGCUUUAUGACAGACUGGGAUAGGAUAACUGAAUACAAAUUGUGAUAUUUGUUUGGAUUGAUGGAAUUUUGAACUUUGUUGAGUUUUUGUUUUUUGGCUUUUCAUUUCAUUGAUAGGAACUUAGUCCAUGAAUAUGGAGAUAUAAGAUCGAAUGCCUAUGUGACAACUUCUGAGAUUUGAAGUCAAGUGAGUAAUCAGAUCUGAGUUUUUGUAAAUCAUUGUUGUUUAUAUUGUUUGUUAUGUUGAGAGAAGAUUGUUGUUCGAAUAUUGUUGGAAGUGCAUUCUUUGUGCAGGUGUUAAAGUAAAAUUUUUUUGUAUUGUUGUGGUAGUGUUGUCAUGUUGUUGAAAUUUUCCUAAAACAUAAGAGUUAUAGAGUUAGUUGUAGGUUAAAAUAUGGUAAUGUUCCUUAGUUUAGCAUUGAAAUUUGGGAUCAUUACAAUAACUAUUGUGCAGCUAUGGUAGUUGUUUAUGGGUUGAGUUCAUUUCUUUCGUUAUUUAUAAAUUGCUUAUACUAAUGCAACUUAUAUUUGUUUGUUUAUACACUUUCAAAUGACAUUGCUCACACAAGUAUAGGGAAGUUCUGGAUGGAGGGCAUAACAAACUCAUCCAUAGAAUAGAGAAAAGAAUAGCAAGUUUUGCAUUCAUUCCUUUAGAUUUUUUGGGAUAGUAAUGACACUCAAAAGUAGACAACCAGCUCUCUCAAUCUUUAGUUAAAUUUUUGUAUCUUUUGAAAGUCAAGUUGUAUAUACAAAAGCAAUUAAGAUUUUAUUUUGGGAUGAUUUUGAUAUGUAAGAAGUCAACUAGUGCUUUGUAUGUAUAAAUUUUGCUAUUCUCUUUGGGAGCUAACUGUUAUUCGUACUUUGUGAGCAAGACUUAGAUUUAAAUUUUUGUGUUUGUUGAGAUAUUAAUAUAUAAAAACAAUUCUUGUUUGUGGAUAAA